UUGUUGGUAAGGUAAAAGCUUACCAAGGCUUCGAUCUGUAGCUGGUCUGAGAGGACGACCAGCCACACUGGGACUGAGACACGGCCCAGACUCCUACGGGAGGCAGCAGUGGGGAAUUUUGGACAAUGGGGGCAACCCUGAUCCAGCCAUGCCGCGUGAGUGAAGAAGGCCUUCGGGUUGUAAAGCUCUUUCAGCCGGAACGAAACGGUUACGGUUAACACCCGUGACUACUGACGGUACCGGAAGAAGAAGCACCGGCUAACUACGUGCCAGCAGCCGCGGUAAUACGUAGGGUGCGAGCGUUAAUCGGAAUUACUGGGCGUAAAGCGUGCGCAGGUGGUUUUGUAAGUCAGAUGUGAAAGCCCCGGGCUCAACCUGGGAACUGCGUUUGAAACUACAAGACUAGAGUGUGGCAGAGGGGGGUGGAAUUCCGCGUGUAGCAGUGAAAUGCGUAGAGAUGUGGAGGAACACCGAUGGCGAAGGCAGCCCCCUGGGUCAACACUGACGCUCAGGCACGAAAGCAUGGGGAGCAAACAGGAUUAGAUACCCUGGUAGUCCAUGCCCUAAACGAUGUCAACUAGUUGUCGGGCCUUUACGGGCUUGGUAACGUAGCUAACGCGUGAAGUUGACCGCCUGGGGAGUACGAUCGCAAGAUUAAAACUCAAAUGAAUUGACGGGGACCCGCACAAGCGGUGGAUUAUGUGGAUUAAUUCGAUGCAACGCGAAAAACCUUACCUACCCUUGACAUGUAUCGAAGCCCGCAGAAAAGCGGGGGUGCCCGAAAGGGAACGAUAACACAGGUGCUGCAUGGCUGUCGUCAGCUCGUGUCGUGAGAUGUUGGGUUAAGUCCCGCAACGAGCGCAACCCUUGUCAUUAAUUGCCAUCAUUUAGUUGGGCACUUUAAUGAGACUGCCGG
rnacentral:rRNA from 1 species